rnacentral:lncRNA from 1 species
GCUGCCACCCUCUUAUGCAUGGCCUUUUGGAUUAGCAGCAAGUCGGUCUUCAUGUCUGCAACAAGUGCAAAAUCGAAGAGAAUGUUAGAAAACUUAACUCUGCGAUGGGGUAAAAGGAUAAAAAUUUCAAGGAAUUUUAUCCUGAGGGCCGGCUGGGCUCAGACCAACAUUAAUUAAUGUCUCCUUGGACAAUAGUUCCUGCAACCGGAGAAUCUUCGAUUUAAGAAGGAUGUUCGAGGAUCUUUGAUCAUCACUGGACAACCUCGGAGGUCGAUUCAAAGACCUCCGAGGUGUCCUCCACAGGGUCUCAAACCACUAUGGUCGCUCAAA